AUACGGAGGACGCGAGCGUUAUCCGGAUUCAUUGGGUUUAAAGGGUGCGCAGGCGGCCGUGCAAGUCAGCGGUGAAAGCCCGGGGCUCAACCCCGGAAGUGCCGUUGAUACUGCAUGGCUGGAAUGCGGUCGAGGCGGGCGGAACGUGGCGUGUAGCGGUGAAAUGCGUAGAUAUGCCACAGAACGCCGAUAGCGGAGGCAGCUCGCCAGGCCUGCAUUGACGCUCGGGCACGAAAGCGUGGGGAUCGAACAGGAUUAGAUCCCCUGGUAGUCCACGCCGUAAAC
rnacentral:rRNA from 1 species